UACGGAGGGAGCUAGCGUUGUUCGGAAUUACUGGGCGUAAAGCGCACGUAGGCGGCUUUGUAAGUUAGAGGUGAAAGCCCGGGGCUCAACCCCGGAAUUGCCUUUAAGACUGCAUCGCUUGAAUCCAGGAGAGGUGAGUGGAAUUCCGAGUGUAGAGGUGAAAUUCGUAGAUAUUCGGAAGAACCACCAGUGGCGAAGGCAGCCCCUGGGCUGAGAUUGACGGCUCAGGCACGAAAGCGU
rnacentral:rRNA from 1 species